CCCUCUCACAUACAUUCUCCCAGUGCAGUGCAUCAGUGUGCCAGCCAUCGACGACUCCUGUGCUCAGUAGCUCAUCAUGUGUCAAACACACCUCUUACCGUUCAAAGGAAUUACCAUCUCACCUCAACAUUGUAGCCUAUAGUUUGAAUUUUACAGAUCUUGCAACAACAUGCCAACACACAAAUAGCUGAGCAAACAUUUCUAAGCAGCGCCAUCAAUGAGGUGUUGCCUGACCUUCCAGAGGCUUCAAAAGACAUUCUUGAGGAGACAUUACAGUCGAUUGGAGUGGAAACAUAUGAUGACUUCCAGUUCAUUGUUGAGGAAGACUUGCUGUCAGCAUUAAGACCAGUUCAAGCCAGAAAAGCACUUGCUGCUUGGAAAUUCAGAUGCCAGACUCCUGAAACCAGCAGGUCCUCAAGUAAUACUUCGCCAGAUACUCCUGCGUCACUGCAGUCUUUGUCCCCGCAAAGUGUGUCAUCAAACUCCUCCAGCAGCAACCAGACUUCUGAAGCAGACUGGGUGGAUACCUUUGAGAUACCAUGGGAAAAGUUCUCAGAGGAACUGAUGCAGUCAUUAGAGAGAGGAAAACGGCCAAGUCCAAAAAUGAGGAGGGAGAUGGUCAGGAUUGUGGUGUCUGAAAUGAUGCGAAAAAGUUCUUGCUUAGGUAAAAGGAGUUCUACAGAAGUUGCAAAGAAGAUGGUGGCAAAAUAUCCAAAAUCUCUACAAGAUGUAAUUGGCCCUGGCUAUCACUCACUAGUCAAACAACUGCAAUAUCGAAUGUAAUUUGCUAUUACAGUAAAAUGUUUUACUGACAUCACACGGAGUCAUACUCCUUUUCCAUAAAAGUGUUUUGUAGAAUUUCAGUGUAGAAUAUUACACUAAAACACAAGAAAUCUAUGCCAAAGUCAGAUUUAUUGCCAUAAAUUGACCAUUCAGAAGGGGGGGCUUUGAAAAAAAAUCUUUUUGAUAUGUCACAUUUCAGCCAGGCUGCACAGUGGUGUAGUGGUUAGCGCUGUCGCCUCACAGCAAGAAGGCCCAGGUUCGAGCCCCGUGGCCGACGAGGGCCUUUCUGUGUGGAGUUUGCAUGUUCUCCCCGUGUCCGCGUGGGUUUCCUCCGGGUGCUCCUGUUCCCCCACAGUCCAAAGACAUGCAGGUUAGGUUAACUGGUGACUCUAAAUUGACUGUAGGUGUGAAUGUGAGUGUGAAUGGUUGUCUGUGUCUAUGUGUCAGCCCUGUGAUGACCUGGCGACUUGUCCAGGGUGUACCCUGCCUUUCGCCCGUAGUCAGCUGGGAUGGGCUCCAGCUUGCCUGCGACUCUGUAGAACAGGAUAAAGUGGCUAGAGAUAAUGAGAGAGAGAUGACAUUUCAGCCAAAUGGAGCAAGAUAAAGCUAAAAAAUCUUUUUUUCAAAGCUUUUUUCAUCUCAUCUCAUCUCAUCUCAUCUUAUUAUCUCUAACCGCUUUAUCCUGUUCUACAGGGUCACAGGCAAGCUGGAGCCUGUGCUUAAUUCCAAGUUCCAAAUUAAGUUUGCAACUGAUUUUCAUAACCAACUUAUAUUAGUCAUGCAUAUAAUCAGGGCCAUUUCAGUGUACUUUGCAUACCCCGGUGGUCCCCUUCAGCUUGGGGCCUGGUUUGGACAGGCCUGGUUUGCCGGCCCCUGUUGCGAUGGACCUGCAUAAUGCUGACAAAGAGUGUAUCAGGAUAUGAAAUAUGGAUUUAUUAUUUUCUGCAACUCAUUUUGAUAUGUCAAGAUUAGGCCUAUGUUGGUAAAUAAAACAUUAUGUGCUUUUGAUCA